rnacentral:lncRNA from 1 species
UUAUCAACCAAUCAAUGAAAUGUAUUUAUCAACCAAUCAAUGAAAUGUAUUUAUCAACCAAUCAAUGAAAUGUAUUCAUCAACCAAUCAAUGAAAUGUAUUUAUCAACCAAUCAAUGUAAUGUAUUUAUCAACCAAUCAAUGUAAUGUAUUUAUCAACCAAUCAAUGAAAUGUAUUUAUCAACCAAUCAAUGAAAUGUAUUUAUCAACCAAUCAAUGUAAUGUAUUUAUCAACCAAUCAAUGAAAUUAAUUUAUCAACCAAUCAAUGAAAUGUAUUUAUCAACCAAUCAAUGUAAUGUAUUUAUCAACCAAUCAAUGAAAUGUAUUUAUCAACCAAUCAAUGUAAUGUAUUUAUCAACCAAUCAAUGAAAUGUAUUUAUCAACCAAUCUAUGUAAUGUAUUUAUCAACCAAUCAAUGAAAUGUAUUUAUCAACCAAUCAAUGUAAUGUAUUUAUCAACCAAUCAAUGAAAUGUAUUUAUCAACCAAUCAAUGAAAUGUAUUUAUCAACCAAUCAAUGAAAUGUAUUUAUCAACCAAUCAAUGUAAUGUAUUUAUCAACCAAUCAAUGUAAUGUAUUUAACAACCAAUCAAUGUAAUGUAUUUAUCAACCAAUCAAUGAAAUGUAUUUAUCAACCAAUCAAUGAAAUGUAUUUAUCAACCAAUCAAUGAAAUGUAUUUAUCAACCAAUCAAUGUAAUGUAUUUAUCAACCAAUCAAUGAAAUGUAUUUAUCAACCAACCAAUGAAAUGUAUUUAUCAACCAAUCAAUGAAAUGUAUUUAUCAACCAAUCAAUGAAAUGUAUUUAUCAACCAAUCAAUGAAAUGUAUUUAUCAACCAAUCAAUGAAAUGUAUUUAUCAACCAAUCAAUGAAAUGUAUUUAUCGAGCCCUUUCAAUACAUCAGCUGAUGUCAACAAAGUGCUGUACAGAAACCCGGCCUAAAACCCCCCAAACAGGAAGUAACGCAGGAUGUAGAAACACUGAUAUAUUACUCGUUGUAUUACUACUUUCUGAAACCCUCUUCCUCUCUACUACAGCACACCAGGGGUGUCCAACACCCGUUACUGGAGCACUACUACGCUCUAGGGACCAAUAGGACGGUCUCUCUCCAGGACCAAUAGGAGGGUCUCUCUCCAGGACCAAUGGGAGGGUCUCUCUCCAGGACCAAUAGGAGGGUCUCUCUCCAGGACCAAUAGGAGG